rnacentral:rRNA from 1 species
GACGAACGCUGGCGGCGUGCUUAACACAUGCAAGUCGAACGAAGUGGCGAACGGGUGAGUAACGCGUAAUCAACCUGCCCUUCAGAGGGGGACAACAGUUGGAAACGACUGCUAAUACCGCAUACUGAAGGCGGGGAUUGCGUCUGAUUAGCUAGUUGGAGGGGUAACGGCCCACCAAGGCGAUGAUCAGUAGCCGGUCUGGUAGGAUGAACGUCCACAUUGGGACUGAGACACGGCCCAGACUCCUACGGGAGGCAGCAGUGUGGAAUCUUUCGCAAGGGACGAAAGUCUGACGGAGCAACGCCGCGGGAGUGAUGACGGCCUUCGGGUUGUAAAGCUCUGUUAAUCGGGACGCGGUACCGGAAUAGAAAGCCACGGCUAACUACGUGCCAGCAGCCGCGGUAAUUC